CUUGGAACCUAUUAAAGAACCUGGGAUUUUGGAGGGACGCAAUGGUAUUAAAGAAACUUGCCUCCAGCAUGCAGCUAGGUAUCUUGCUAACCAGGAGUGGGUUAAAAGUGAUUCACUCAAGAUUGUAGAAAAUACUGCAGUUCCCAUCAUCAUGCUUCUUGUUGAAGUUCCUCAUGAUCUGAUUACCCCUGCUGUUUCCACCAUAUCUACACUGAAAGAAGAACCGACUGAGGUGAUUAGUGGAGACAAUCCUUUUCAAACCAAUAUGGCUAAUUUGGAAAGCUCUGCUUCACCAAAGUGUUCAAAUAUGAAUACUGAUGAUUACAAGGAUAUGAAAUCAAUUCGUCUUGACAUCAGUUUCUUGUCGCCAUCACACACAGGACUCCAAACUACUGAACUGGUUUGAUUAAAACUUUUCCCUCUUUCUAUUUUGCAAAGUCAAUUCUUGUUAGCUGACAUUCUUCUCAUGCAUAACGAAGGCUAUAUAAAUUAGGUUUUGCAGUGUUUUGACCUGGUUGCUGCCACUGUUUGCAAAAAUUAUAAUGAAACUGAAUAAUUUUGGAAGGAUACGAAUAUAAGAAUGGUUGAGAAUGUUCUAAUUUCAGUUUUCAUAUUUGGAAGGCA